rnacentral:rRNA from 1 species
GCCCUUGACUCUGGGAUAAGCCUGGGAAACUGGGUCUAAUACCGGAUAUGACUGUCUGACGCAUGUCAGGUGGUGGAAAGCUUUUGUGGUUUUGGAUGGACUCGCGGCCUAUCAGCUUGUUGGUGGGGUAAUGGCCUACCAAGGCGACGACGGGUAGCCGGCCUGAGAGGGUGACCGGCCACACUGGGACUGAGACACGGCCCAGACUCCUACGGGAGGCAGCAGUGGGGAAUAUUGCACAAUGGGCGCAAGCCUGAUGCAGCGACGCCGCGUGAGGGAUGACGGCCUUCGGGUUGUAAACCUCUUUCAGUAGGGAAGAAGCGAAAGUGACGGUACCUGCAGAAGAAGCGCCGGCUAACUACGUGCCAGCAGCCGCGGUAAUACGUAGGGCGCAAGCGUUAUCCGGAAUUAUUGGGCGUAAAGAGCUCGUAGGCGGUUUGUCGCGUCUGCUGUGAAAGACCGGGGCUCAACUCCGGUUCUGCAGUGGGUACGGGCAGACUAGAGUGCAGUAGGGGAGACUGGAAUUCCUGGUGUAGCGGUGAAAUGCGCAGAUAUCAGGAGGAACACCGAUGGCGAAGGCAGGUCUCUGGGC